AUGCACCCACUUGGUUCCCACGGCUUCUUCCCGGUUUUGCAAUAUGCAAACGAUACACUGAUCAUUUUCCGCGGUGAGGUGGAGCAAGCUAGAGUCAUUAAGAAUAUCCUCGCUGCCUUCUCUGCGUUCUCAGGGCUGACUAUCAACUUUCACAAAAGCACUAUGGUGCUUGUUUGUGUGCAACAGGAAGUGGCUGCAGAGAUUGCCAGCAUCCUGGGCUGCCCGGUCUCCUCCUUUCCCUGCACUUACCUGGGGAUGCCCCUCUCCUUGCACAAGAUCAAGCAUGGUAUGCUGCUUCCGGUUAUCCACAAAGUUGAUCGCCGUCUCUCUGGUUGGCUGGCCACGUUCCUCUCUUGGGGUGGCAGACUCACUCUCGUUAACUCCGUUCUGUUUGGCAUUCCGAGCUACUUCAUGACUUGUUUCCAGUGGCCAAAGGAGUCUUUACAUAAGUUGGACGCCUUGCUUAGGGCUUUCUUUUGGCAGGGCAAGAAUACAGUUAAAGGAGGCCAGUGUCUGAUGGCCUGGGAUAUGGUUACACUACCUCAGGUAAACGGCGGUUUGGGGGUAAGGAACUUGGAGGCCCAUAACCAAGCGCUGCUAUGUAAGUUUGUAGCUAAAAUUCUCCAGUCCUCCGAUAUACCCUGCUUCAAGUGGUUUGCCUCCCAAUAUUGCAAGGAUUCUUUGCCUUUCAAGAGUCACCACAAAGAUACUGCUAUUUGGAAGGGCCUCAAGAGCUACAUCCCUCUGGUUGUCUCCUCCUCUCGCUGCUCUGUUGGCAGCGGCGCGCACGUCUCCUUCUGGCAUGAUCGAUGGCUAAUGCCUAGCAGUUUGAAGCAUGCUUUCCCGGCCCUUUUCUCCUUUGCUCGCAAUCCAAAUUGUUUUGUGCAAUCUCAGUUUACAGAAGGUGCCUAG
rnacentral:rRNA from 1 species